rnacentral:rRNA from 1 species
AGUCGAACGGCAGCACGGGAGCAAUCCUGGUGGCGAGUGGCGAACGGGUGAGUAAUACAUCGGAACGUGUCCUGGAGUGGGGGAUAGCCCGGCGAAAGCCGGAUUAAUACCGCAUACGCUCUAUGGAGGAAAGCGGGGGAUCGCAAGACCUCGCGCUCAAGGGGCGGCCGAUGGCAGAUUAGGUAGUUGGUGGGGUAAAGGCCUACCAAGCCGACGAUCUGUAGCUGGUCUGAGAGGACGACCAGCCACACUGGGACUGAGACACGGCCCAGACUCCUACGGGAGGCAGCAGUGGGGAAUUUUGGACAAUGGGCGCAAGCCUGAUCCAGCAAUGCCGCGUGUGUGAAGAAGGCCUUCGGGUUGUAAAGCACUUUUGUCCGGGAAGAAAUCCCUGGUCCUAAUAUGGCCGGGGGAUGACGGUACUGGAAGAAUAAGCACCGGCUAACUACGUGCCAGCAGCCGCGGUAAUACGUAGGGUGCGAGCGUUAAUCGGAAUUACUGGGCGUAAAGCGUGCGCAGGCGGUGAUGUAAGACCGAUGUGAAAUCCCCGGGCUUAACCUGGGAACUGCAUUGGUGACUGCAUCGCUCGAGUAUGGCAGAGGGGGGUAGAAUUCCACGUGUAGCAGUGAAAUGCGUAGAGAUGUGGAGGAAUACCGAUGGCGAAGGCAGCCCCCUGGGUCAAUACUGACGCUCAUGCACGAAAGCGUGGGGAGCAAACAGGAUUAGAUACCCUG